GGAGGUGAAAGAGUCUGUAGUGUGUGCGUCUUAACUGAGAUGGAGAAGGCGCUUGCUCAUUUCCACGAAUGUUUACAUGGUUUCUGGAGAUGCAGGUGUCAACAGAGGUUUUCCUUUCAAUGACUGGAUAGAGGCAGUGAGGUUCCAGGAUGCGGUCCAUGAGGAAGACGGUGUUGCUAGUCAUCUUGGUGUCUGUGGUGCUAGUACUGGCUCUCCUCCAUUCGUGG